rnacentral:rRNA from 1 species
CCUACGGGGGGCAGCAGUGAGGAAUAUUGGUCAAUGGGCGAGAGCCUGAACCAGCCAAGUCGCGUGAGGGAAGACGGUCCUAUGGAUUGUAAACCUCUUUUGCCGGGGAGCAAAAAGCGGUACGUGUACCGCAUCGAGAGUACCCGGAGAAAAAGCAUCGGCUAACUCCGUGCCAGCAGCCGCGGUAAUACGGAGGAUGCGAGCGUUAUCCGGAUUUAUUGGGUUUAAAGGGUGCGCAGGCGGCGAGUUAAGUCAGCGGUAAAAUUUCGGGGCUCAACCCCGACAAGCCGUUGAAACUGGCUUGCUAGAGUGGGCGAGAAGUAUGCGGAAUGCGUGGUGUAGCGGUGAAAUGCAUAGAUAUCACGCAGAACUCCGAUUGCGAAGGCAGCGUACCGGCGCCCAACUGACGCUCAGGCACGAAAGCGUGGGUAUCGAACAGGAUUAGAUACCCCAGUAGUC